GAUGAACGCUGGCGGCGUGCUUAACACAUGCAAGUCGAACGGAAAGGCCCAAGCUUGCUUGGGUGCUCGAGUGGCGAACGGGUGAGUAACACGUGGGUGAUCUGCCCUGCACUUUGGGAUAAGCCUGGGAAACUGGGUCUAAUACCGGAUAGGACCAUCGUUUAGUGUCGGUGGUGGAGAGCUUUUCGGUGUGGGAUGAGCUCGCGGCCUAUCAGCUUGUUGGUGGGGUAAUGGCCUACCAAGGCGUCGACGGGUAGCCGGCCAGAGAGGGUGUACGGCCACAUUGGGACUGAGAUACGGCCCAGACGCCUACGGGAGGAAGCAGGGGGGAAUAUUGAACAAUGGGCGCAAGGCUGAUGCAGCGAGGCCGCGUGGGGGAUGACGGCCUUCGGGUUGUAAACUCCUUUCGCCAAGGACGAAGCGUUUUGUGACGGUACUUGGAGAAGAAGCACCGGCUAACUACGUG
rnacentral:rRNA from 1 species